GCCGCAGUAGCUCAGUUGGUAGAGCAACGCAUUCGUAAUGCGUGGGUCGGGGGUUCAAGUCCCUCCUGCGGCACCA
rnacentral:tRNA from 1 species